GGUGUAGUUCUUGGCUCUCUGGUGUGUGUUCUUUUCUUCUGAAACUUUAGAGAGGACUUUAGAUGUUGAAAAUAUGAAGUCUCUGCUUUGCACCCAGCGCUGAGCGAGCAAGCCUUGGGGAAGAGAAGUGGACUGCUGAGAAGGUUGCCCGCCCAACGGCAGUCACUUGCUGGGACUUCUCUGUCUAUGUGCUGGUUCAGACUGGGAAAUGGGUUCUAAUGGUUUCCGGAACAGAACUGGUCUCUACAGGCCGCCCCGAGGGAUGGCGCGUUUGCAGCCACGCGCAGCCGGUGCUGAGCUGCUCCCGGGCUUCUCAGCCCCACUCCCCCGCGGAGGAAAACCUCGACGUGCAACGAGGGCUGGCGGGACCAAAAGGACGAGCCACGCCCUUGGAACAUCAACGCUCAUCUAGAAUUUCCCUUGAAUCAGGCCUUU